rnacentral:lncRNA from 1 species
UGGAUUUACUAUGAAAUGGAACAGCAAUAAAUAUUUCCAAAGAUGGAUGAGCCCUUGUCUCUUCUGAUUAGAUGGCAUCUUAAAGAUGUCAGAAAUCUCCUGUGCAAGUGAGAAUCCAGAUGGCCAGCUGUGGAGGAUUUGCCUUUGUGAGCUCAUGGAUUAUGACAAGUCAAAUCAAAUGGAAACUUCUCAGAAACUCUCUUGUGAAUCAAGCCCAGGUUCCAGGUCUCUCAGUCAGACCACUCCCGGGGACAUCCACUGUAAAUAGUCUGACCACACUGUCAGAAGCACGCAGCUAACUUCUGAAUCAGAAGGCGUCUAAUCAGCACAUGGGCUUCGAAUUCACGGAAAGUUCUCUGUGAGGGGAAAGACUUGAAUUUCAUGACUACAGCAAAGGAAGUUGUUAACUCAGCAAUUCCAGACAGAACGUCCUGCCAUGUGUGGAGGGCAGACGGAGGGAGGGAGGAGAGGAGACCAGAGCAAAGUAAAAGCUAAAAAAAAUGACCAACUGCUAUAUACAUAUUAUCUGACUAUGCCACAUACACACACCCAAAAAAAGAGUACUACCUAGAAAGAAUUCUAAUUAGUGUUAACUUCAAUAUCUCAUUUCUCCCCCAUAAAAGAAACACCUUGGGCUGUCAAGUUGGUCCCAUGAGUAAAAAGAAUCUGCCCCAAGCCUGACAAUCAAACCUGUGUUCAAUCUCUGGAAGCAACAUGGUGAAGGAAGAGAAUCACCUCUUACAGACUGUCCUUUGACCUCUGCAUAUGUGCUGUGGCACCCUUACACACACAUACACACACG